GGUCAUGAGCGCCAGCGUCAAGCCCCGGCUUGCUGGCCGGCAACCCUCCAACCGCGGUGGGGUGCCCCGGGUGAUGACCAGGUUGAGCAGCCGUUGCGGCUGUAAGGCAAGCGCGGGUC
rnacentral:ncRNA from 2 species